CAAUGGCGUUGCCCAUCCGGCCCGGACGAGCUCUCUCACUCAUCAGGAGUAGAUAGAGCGAAACCCUAGAGAGAGGAAGAGGAAGAAGAAGAAGAAGAAGAAGAAGAAGGAGAAGGACGUUCAGGUUCAGAGGCUGUGGAGCCCUGGAAAUGGAUAGGCUUUCCGAGAAGGAGAAAUCAAGCAAGCGUUCUCGAGAAGAACGCGAUCGAGACCACAAGCAUCGAAGUCGAGAUACCGAGGAAAAGCAUUUCUCCAAGGAUGAAAAGCAUCGUGAAUCCGAUCACCACCAUCGCCGGCGGCACCAUCGAUCGGACCGUGAUUCGAAGCGUGAGCGUUCGCAUGAGCCGCGCGAACACAAACAUCGGCGUGAUAGGUCUCCCGAUGAGCGCGGAAGCUCCCAAGACCGCGAUUUUAAGCGGGAAAGGUCUCAUGAUCUUAGGGAGGAGAGAGAAAGAAGUAGAGAUAGGGAUUCGUCUAAGCGAGAGCGGUCGAAUGAGCCGAGAGGGUUGAGAGCGGGCAGCGAAGAGCGGGGCAAGCUGCGCGAGGUGAGGCGCGAGCAAUCAGAAGAUGAGCGUGAACGGGAAGGAUCGUUGGAGCCAAUUCACAAUUCUGUAGGUUCAAACAAGAGGAAGAAGAGGGGAGGAAGUGAGGACAGGUUUGAUGGCGGUGAGAAGAGGGCUAGGGCUUCGGAAGGUGGAAAUGAAGUGAAUGGAGCUGAGAUGGAUGAGAAAAAGGAGCGGAGGAGAUUUGCUGACAGUGAGAAAGAUGAGGAAGCAAAUUUGAGUGGUAGGGGAAGGAGGGAGAGGAAACGAUUCGAGGAUCGGGUAAAGGAAGAAGAUAAUGGUGGAAAUGUUGAUGAGAGGCAUGCGAAAGUGAAUGAAUUAAAGUCCAAGGGGGACGUCGGGGAUGUGAAAGUUCAGUUUGGAGGCACCACUGAUGAAAAAGGGUCAUUGGGGAAUGGAUCUAUGGUGGAACCUACUGAUAUGUCAUCAACAAGUGUGCCACAGAAUUUGAUACACCCUAGUCAUUCCCUUCCUAUCAAGGUAUCUUCAAUUUCUACCACAAAUGAAAAUAAGGGAGUUAGUAUUACCAGAUCUCAUGAGGUUCAUGGAAAAUCUAGUACAGAUGGGACUUCUGCAACUGCUGGGAAAAGUGGAAAUCUCUCUCUUGAUGCUUUAGCAAAAGCUAAGAAAGCUUUACAGAUGCAGAAAGAAUUGGCUGAGAAGUUGAAGAAAAUUCCCCUGAUGAAGAAGGUUGGGGGUUCAAGUUCUGCAAGUAGCUCAGUUAUGAAAUUGGAGGAGAAACCUAAACCACCAGCUGGUGUAUUGGGGCAAUUGCCAACUACAAAUGAUGCUACGAGUCUUUCGACUGGGGUAGCAUCAAGUUCAUCGACAUUACCUUCUGCUGCCAAUGCACUUGAUGGUGGGAUUAAUGUUCCAGCUGGCCUUACCUCUAUACCCCAUUUUGAAGCUGUCAAACGUGCACAAGAGCUCGCUGCCAGGAUGGGAUUUCGCCAGGAUCCAGAGUUUGCUCCUCUCAUAAAUUUGUUUCCAGGGAACAUAGCAACAGACGUUGCUGUUCCACAGAAGCCAACCAAGGCCCCUGUUCUUCGUCUUGAUGCACUUGGCAGGGAAAUUGACGAACAAGGAAAUGUGGUCAAUAUAACCAAACCCAGCAACCUUAGCACUCUUAAGGUUAAUAUCAACAAGCAAAAAAAGGAUGCAUUUCAGAUUCUUAAACCUGAACUUGAUGUGGAUCCAGAUUCAAACCCUCAUUUUGAUGAGAGAAUGGGUAUAAAUAAAACUAAACUGCUGAGGCCAAAGAGAAUGAGUUUCCAGUUUGUUGAGGAAGGGAAAUGGUCUAAGGAGGCUGAAACCAUAAAAUUGAAGAGUAAAUUUGGAGAGGCACAAGCCAAAGAACGAAAAGAAAAACAGGCACAAUUGGCCAAGGCAAAGGCUGCACCUGAUAUAAAUCCGAAUCUGAUCGAGGUAUCAGAGAGAGUGAUGAAGGAAAAAACAAAAGAACCAAUUCCUGAAAUUGAGUGGUGGGAUGUCCCGCUUUUGCAUUCCGGCACGUACGAGGAUGUGGGAGAUGGUUUUGUGGCUGAUGACAAAUUAAGGAAGGAUAAGAUUACCAUUUAUGUGGAGCAUCCUCGUCCUAUUGAACCUCCUGCAGAGCCAGCUCCCCCGCCUCCUCAACCCCUAAAGCUAACAAAGAAGGAGCAGAAAAAACUCCGUACACAGCGUCGUCUAGCAAAGGAGAAAGAUAGACAGGAGAUGAUCAGACAAGGACUGAUAGAACCACCUAAACCAAAAGUUAAAAUGAGCAAUUUAAUGAAAGUUCUUGGCUCAGAAGCAACCCAAGAUCCUACUAAACUUGAGAAAGAGAUUCGUGCUGCAGCUGCUGAGAGGGAACAAGCUCACAUAGAUAGAAAUAUUGCACGAAAACUUACCCCUGCAGAGCGCCGCGAGAAGAAAGAACGUAAACUUUUUGACGAUUCAAAUUCACUUGAGACAUUUGUGUCUGUUUACAAGAUCAACGAUUUAUCACACCCACAGGCCCGGUUUAAAGUCGAUGUUAAUGCUAGAGAGAACCGUUUGACUGGAUGUGCUGUGAUAUGUGAUGGCAUCAGUGUUCUGGUCGUUGAAGGGGGAAGCAAGUCCAUCAAGAGGUAUGGCAAGCUUAUGCUCAGGCGUAUAAAUUGGGCCGCUUCUGUGAAAGAGGAGGAAGAGGAGGAAAAUGAUGACAGGCCCGUUAACAAAUGUUCAUUGGUAUGGCAAGGAAGUGUUGCCAAAUCUAGCUUCAAUAGAUUCUCUAUCCAGGAAUGCAUGACUGAGGCAGCUGCUCGAAAGAUUUUUGCCGAUGCCGGUGUUGGUCAUUAUUGGGAUUUUGCUGUUAACUAUUCCGACGAUCAAAUAUAAUCUAACUUCUGCACUGGUAGUUGAUGCAAUUCGCUGAUGAUUUGCUUCAGUGUCUUGUAUGUUUGAGAAGCAGAAAUGCAGAAACAUUCGAAGCGAAUAUAUCAUCACAGUAUUGCUAGUCUUACCUGUUUCUAUUCAUAGGUUAGGUGGGAAGAUUUCAUUAUGUUCCGACUCACCUAUCGGAUGAGUUCUCGGGAAUUUUGCGGAUUUCUUGAAUCACAACUGACUUCUGUAUGAGAAAUACGUUGUAAUCGAUGGUGAUCAGUUGGGGUAGCGAGCAGAACUUUGAAAUCUUAUCGGUGAAGACUGUCUCGAGAAACGGGUAUUAUGUCCAGUAUUUGUCUUAUAGUCUUCAUUUCUUGUACUUCUAUAGAAUCUAGAGUUGUGACUCUUUUCUCCACCCUUCAUAACUGAGGAAUGAUUGACAAUCCAUUCCAUUGGGUUAGUUAGAUGAAGGGGGGGUGGCUAUAAAUAAUUUUCUUCUCAAACAAAAAGGUUCGUAGGAGAUUUGAAUCCAUGGCGAAAAAGCUCUGACCAAUUGAAUUUCAUCAGUUGAGUUAUGAUUAAGGUUUUUUUUCAACGAAAAAAGUUUCAUGUGUGUUUGAUGAAGAACAAGAUGAAGGGGAGAGGAGCGAGAGCGGGGAGCGGGGAGUGGGAGCAAGAAAAUGAGAAGAAUCUGAAAUGAAAAGAAAAUUUGAAGAAAAAUAUUGCAGUUGUCUUAUGAGGAUCAAUACGAAGGAGCGGGAGCUAAGAGUGAGAAGCUAGAAAUAGGCCUGAGGUCAAAUGGAUACUUUUACAUGUGGAUGACGUAAGAUUAAAUAGGCACCUUCACAUAUGGAUGACAUUAGUAGAAGGCUAAAUUUUGGACUUUUUAAAAUGAGACCAAAUUUCGAGUUGAUCUCCUAAAUGAGGGUCAUCAAAUACAAAUUCCUCAUUUUAGUU